UACGUAGGGUGCGAGCGUUAAUCGGAUUUACUGGGCGUAAAGCGUGCGCAGGCGGCCCGUUAAGACAGGUGUGAAAUCCCUGGGCUCAACCUAGGAAUUGCGCUUGUGACUGGCGGGCUCGAGUACGGUAGAGGGGGGUGGAAUUCCUGGUGUAGCAGUGAAAUGCGUAGAAAUCAGGAGGAACACCGAUGGCGAAGGCAGCCCCCUGGGCCUGUACUGACGCUCAUGCACGAAAGCGUGGGGAGCAAACAGG
rnacentral:rRNA from 1 species